CCCCUAGAUGUUCUGGGCCGCACGCGCGCUACACUGAACAGUUCAACAAGUCUUAACCUUGGCCGAUAGGUCUGGGUAAUCUUUGAACGCUGUUCGUGAUGGGGAUAGACUUUUGCAAUUUUUGGUCUUCAACGAGGAAUUCCUAGUAAACGCAAGUCAUCAACUUGCAUUGAUUACGUCCCUGCCCUUUGUACACACCGCCCGUCGCACCUACCGAUUGAAUGGUCCGGUGAAGCCUCCGGAUUGGCGUGCACCCUCGGGUGCUGCCGAGAAGUUGGCUAAACCUUACCAUUUAGAGGAAGGUGAAGUCGUAACA
rnacentral:rRNA from 1 species